AGAGUUUGAUCAUGGCUCAGGAUGAACGCUAGCGGCAGGCCUAAUACAUGCAAGUCGAACGAUACUUGAGAGCUUGCUCUCAAGGAAAGUGGCGCACGGGUGCGUAACGCGUAUGCAACCUACCUUAAUCAGGGGGGUAGCCCGAAGAAAUUCGGAUUAACACCGCAUAAAAACACAGUACAGCAUUGUACAAUGUUCAAAUAUUUAUAGGAUUAAGAUGGGCAUGCGUGUCAUUAGCUAGUUGGCGGGGUAACGGCCCACCAAGGCGACGAUGACUAGGGGAUCUGAGAGGAUGACCCCCCACACUGGUACUGAGACACGGACCAGACUCCUACGGGAGGCAGCAGUAAGGAAUAUUGGUCAAUGGAGGCAACUCUGAACCAGCCAUGCCGCGUGCAGGAAGACAGCCCUCUGGGUCGUAAACUGCUUUUAUUCGGGAAUAAACCACACUACGUGUAGUGUGCUGAAUGUACCGAAGGAAUAAGGAUCGGCUAACUCCGUGCCAGCAGCCGCGGUAAUACGGAGGAUCCAAGCGUUAUCCGGAUUUAUUGGGUUUAAAGGGUGCGUAGGCGGCUUAUUAAGUCAGGGGUGAAAGACGGUGGCUCAACCAUCGCAGUGCCUUUGAUACUGAUGAGCUUGAAUACACUAGAGGUAGGCGGAAUGUGACAAAGCGGUGAAAUGCAUAGAUAUGUCACAGAACACCGAUUGCGAAGGCAGCUUACUAUGGUGUGAUUGACGCUGAGGCACGAAAGCGUGGGGAUCAAACAGGAUUAGAUACCCUAGUAGUCC
rnacentral:rRNA from 1 species